AUGCGUUAGGGAUAGGAGCGGAUACCGGCCAAGUGGCUAAGGCCUUGUGUAGUAUGAGCGGAUAGCCCGGCCGGAG
rnacentral:sRNA from 1 species